GACGAACGCUGGCGGCGUGCUUAACACAUGCGAGUCGAACGGAAAGGCCCUGCUUUUGUGGGGUGCUCGAGUGGCGAACGGGUGAGUAACACGUGAGUAACCUGCCCUUGACUUUGGGAUAACUUCAGGAAACUGGGGCUAAUACCGGAUAGGAGCUCCUGCUGCAUGGUGGGGGUUGGAAAGUUUCGGCGGUUGGGGAUGGACUCGCGGCUUAUCAGCUUGUUGGUGGGGUAGUGGCUUACCAAGGCUUUGACGGGUAGCCGGCCUGAGAGGGUGACCGGCCACAUUGGGACUGAGAUACGGCCCAGACUCCUACGGGAGGCAGCAGUGGGGAAUAUUGCACAACGGGCGGAAGCCUGAUGCAGCAACGCCGCGUGCGGGAUGACGGCCUUCGGGUUGUAAACCGCUUUCGCCUGUGACGAAGCGUGAGUGACGGUAAUGGGUAAAGAAGCACCGGCUAACUACGUG
rnacentral:rRNA from 1 species